ACUGGGUCCACAUCACAGCAAGGGGCUUUCCUGGGGGAGCCCUGACACCAGCAGGCACGGGUGGCAGCUCUGUAGGCAGCCACGGGUCUCUGCGAUUGCAGGCACCCAGGAGGAGGGCAGCCUGACCACCUGCACGAGCCGGGGCAGCUGCUCCUUGGGAUGGGAGCAGCCUGGGCACAGCCGGUGGGAUGUGGCGGGGAGUUUCUUCUCCACAGCAGAGCCAGCAGCAGGAGGCUAUGCAGGGGGUGCCACCGAAAUCACAAGGGCUGCAGGGUUGGAAGAUGGCCCCAGCAGGCCCCUCCUGAACGGGGCGCUGCUCUGUGUAAGGGCAAAUACAGUGCCACUGCUUCCUGCUCCUCACCUCCCAGCCACUUCCAGCGGCUCUGGUGGGUGUCCCACCAGGAAAUCCCUCCAGAAUUGUUGCUGGCAGGGAACAGCAUCUGAGCAAGCAAAGGGACAGACAGAAGAACCAAGAGCAGCCAUCCCAAGGCUGGUGUUUUCCACACGGGCGAUGUGGAGAAGCAGGCCCCGGUGUGGGCACGGCCAGAGAGGAAGCCAACCCACACGGCGUCGGGGACCUUGCUGGGAGAGGGCAGCAAGCGCCCUGGGGAGCUGUUCUGAUGCUGCAAGGAGGCUGCAGGUUUGCCCAUCUACAUGUCCCAUGACUGUUUGGAAACAGAGGAACAGAUGGAAGCUGGGCUGAGUCCUUCCCAAAGGUUGUGCGAAGGGCAGCAACUGCAUCCGAAUGGCAGGAGUCUCCGCGCUCAAAGCAGAGAUCAUCUUCCCUGCACCGCCUGGCUACUCUGCAAAUUAAUCUUUGGACGCCUGAAGAUGGGCACCCAGAAAAUGAGGGAUCUUCCUGGCAUUAUAAAGAUGGAUGAAAGCCUGGGAAAUUUAUAGCCGAGCCUGCCUAUGUUGGAGUCUCUUAUUCCUGCCACUGAUAAAACGAGACCUGCUUCUGCAGUAUGGUAAAAUGGGCUUCCUUCAUCCAGAAACCACCUUAGGAAAGCUCUGCCAGCACACACCGACCGUCUCACCCAUGUGCUGCUUCCUGCGCCUGAGGGCUCAAAAUGGCGUCCCCUCCGCCGGGGCAUGGCGGCGCCUCUCCAGAGCUGUCCGGGGGCAAGCUGCUGUGUGUGGAGAGUUGCACGGCAUCGAGUGCAGCGCUGUGCGUUUGUGAAGAUAAAUGGACUGGGAGGAAAAGCUCUUUUGCUGUGCUGCUGCUAUUUUAAUGUGAAAGUGAGACCCUGAAAUGCUCUGUUCUACUUCAGUAGCUCUAAGAGGAGUCUUUCUCCAGAGGUCUCUGGUACCCAGAUUAAUUGAAAUAACUCCAAAAGGCUCUUUUAAAUCUAAUUCCCUCCCCCAUGUAUGCAGUCUCUUCUUCACUUUUUUCCCCCCUGUCUACACCCUCUCUUGAACAAAAAGCUUUCAAAUGCUUUUCUGGAAAGAACACGAAUGUAAUUCAGAUGAAGUUAAUGCGAAGUCAAGGUUGAAUGCUCUUCUCCCUGAAACCGCUAGCAGUGGCUGCGCUGGCUGGAGUGAGAUGGGAGCUCAAACAUAACUGGGAGACUCAGGAUGAACUGAACAAAGAGCAGGCUGGAGGAUGGAGAUCACCACUCCCUCCUCCCCAUGCGACCUCCUGCGCUCACGCUGAACCCUUUGAUCCCUGUCCAGGGCAUGGUGACGUGGCAGCCUGGGCCCAGGCCAGGGAUGUAUGCUGGGCGGAGGCUGUUGUCAUCUGUGGGGGCUCUGGAUCCACCUGUACCCUCGUUUCCACAAACAGUGCUGAGCAUCGCAGCGGGGGGCAUCGCUGCUGGUGCUCCUCCAGCUGAAACGCAGAAGCGUCCCCUCUAAACACAGCUCCUUUUACCAGAAACAGCUCUAAUAACAAAAUUUAAAACAAGUGGGCCUGUAUGUUGUAACCACUGUUCUAUUUUUGCCAGGCGCGUUUCUAUUUGACAUAGAAAUGUAAGACCACGUGUGCAAUAGUGCUGCUUAGGGCACAGAGUUUGUGUCUCUCAGGAGUGGUGGCUCUGGGAGAGCCCCACAGAUGAGCACAGCUCACUUGGGAAGGUGCUGCUCAUGGCAAGAGCAGUGCCAUGAUCUCACCCAUGGGAGCACAUCCUCUGCACCACCUGCUUUGGGGCAGUACUUUAGCUCCUUAUUCUUCUAUAGGAGUUUUAUUGCUGGGCUUAGUGAAUAUCAAGAAGUCUGAGUCCUUUCAGAUGUACUACCGCUGUCACUCAUGUUGACGUGGCCAUGUACAAAAUGAUCUGAAACUCGUGAUGGCAAAUGCUAAUUGGUAACGUAAUCAGUGGUGGAGGUGCAAGCUGUGGUUACUUGUGCUUCUCAGCUGCAGUUGGUUGUGGCCAUUCUUCCAUCAACAGGCUGGAAGAAGGAGCUGGUUCCUCCUAGCUGCCUCUGCAGUUGUGCCUUCUGAUAAGUAGCCUCCAGCACAGUGGCACAAGUGGGCUUUUUGUGAUUGAAGACUGUCAGCAGCAGACUGCAUGUCAGCUGUAAUAAUAGUCUCUGUUUUCUAUUAAAUCCUACAGUGAACCUGAUAUGGGUUCUGAUCUUUAUUAUUUCCAUGGGAUGGUCAGAAGAGGAAUUAUACCAUUCCUUAUCUAAAUCUCUCUGGCUAACUCCUACAGCACAGUCUUGCAUUACCCUUUUAUUAAAUGACACCAAGCUUUCCCAGGUGGUAGAGCCACUGCCCCUAGCAGGUUGCGCAAAGGAUGUUGCAACCCUACAAUUAUUAUUCUAGUGCAAAUGCUAAAACUGGUUGAAGAGGAUUUAGAAACCCCUUCUUUCCUCAGUUCCCUUCCACAAAUUACUUUAAAGGCUGGUGAAAUAAAUUUAGUUCAGACAGAUGAAAAGCAGUGUCACAGCAUCUCCUCAUUCCUGUGGGUUUUUACACAACAUGGCUUAAAUAACACAAGGACAAAUGCCUGAAGCAAGAGACCGCAAAAACACCAUAAGCCUCUCAGUGCUGCAGCUAAGAGUUCAGCUGGUGCCACCAAGAGGGGUCAAGACACUUUGGGGCAGUUACCCAUGGCUUGGGCACCAGCUCAAUGCUGGCAGCUCAGACGGAGCAGCCCCUGUUGUGCUACUCCGAUGGAGCUCUGCAGUUACAGCAACAAAAAUCCUCUGCUGUAGAUGAAGAUAAACUAUUUGAUGCUCAACCAGGGAAAUCAGUCUCUUUGUAUGGGGUAGAAGUGGAAGCCAUAGGGACCUAGGACAACUUUAUGCCUGUUUAUCUAUUACUGCAUCCACACUGAAGACUGUGGAGACCCUGAGGCAGCAGUAGGA